rnacentral:lncRNA from 1 species
AGGCCCCCUGGCGGGUACCUAGGUCGUCGCGGGCCCACCUAGGGGGCGAAAGGCACCGGGACCUCGGACUUCUAGGAACUCGGAGCCCUCCCCGCCAACCCCCUGACCUCCUUCUUCCAGUGAGGCCUCAGGCCCUGGGCGACCCCAAGGACUGGCACUAGGGGCCCCGGGCGCACCGUGGCGGGCUGAGUGCACGGAACCGGGGCGCGUCCUGGGGCUCCAGGCGCUGGCUGGCUGAGGAGUAAGCGCCGAGCCAAACCCAGAACGCUCGCACCCUUUUGGGCUACGUGGGGCCGCAGGUGGGGCGUGACGUCAUGCAACGUCACGGCAGCCUGGCCUGGCGGCGUCACUAGGCAGGAGAGGGGCGGGGCUCCUGGGAAGCCUGGACCGCCGAGCCCAGGUGUGACAGCCGCGAGGCCCGGUCCCGCAGCUUUCCCUGGGCCCGGAAGCUGCGAGUUUCGGGACCAGGAUGGGCGGUGGGUGGUCCCUGCCGACAAACGGCUUCGAAGCGCUCGUGAACGUUUCCUCUUGCUCCCUCAUUUUUGUUUUCCUUUUAUUCGGUCUUUUAAAUUUUUUCUUACUUCCGGCCGCUCCACUUCUUUCUCUGUACGAUGUUCUCUAUUUUCUACUCUACUCGUGACUCUCGGCCUCCGUGUGACUAUAACUUACUUUUUUUUUUUUUUUUACAGUUUUUUGUUUCCCUCUAUAGUUCGUUCACUAUUGCUUUUAGUUUUUCCCGACUCUUUUUUUGUCGCAUCCUGCCCCCCUCCUCUCUCCAUUUCUGAGUCUCCCGUCCUCUGUCCCUCUCCCCAGGUUUCCUUUCCUGCCUCUCUUCCUCCUUGCCUCCUCUCCUUUUGUCCUUCCUGUUUUCUUUCUCUGGCCUCUGAAUCUCUCCGCUUCCAACUUCCUCGGUGCCUGUCCCUGCCACUCCCCGCUGGCCUCCGUCCCCUCCUCCUGACCCGGCUCCCGUUAGCUCCCUGGGGCGAAACGGUUCUGGGGCCGCCCCACAGGCCCUAGAGCCGCCCCCGGCCCCGGUACACCGCCUCCCCACCCCCCACCCCGACUCCCCGGGCCAAGCGCCACCCUGCGGGCGCGGGUGUUCGGGCGCCUUCGUUGUACGCGGGCUACGGGAUUGUCUACACCGGCAGGGCUCGAGAAAGGGGA